AGAUUUAAUCAGGUAGCAUACUGGUUUCUAAAGGACUUGAGUCCCAGAAGUUGGAGUCCCUUCUCACAUGCUACACAUGACAAGGUAUCAUCCACUUCCCUACUGGGCCCCACUCACAGGUCAUAGGAGAACUUCUUCUCCAGGCUGGUCUGGUUCUUCUGGAACUGGAAGAUGUCCUGCUGCAGCCUGCCAUAACUCUUCUGCAGUGCCUUCAACUGGUCUAAGCCAAAAAAGGACAAGUCACCUCACUGGUUUCUGUGGCUAUCAUGCCACUCAGACACACAAGACACAGAAGAACUCUGUCUCAAAAAACAAAAACCACAGCAGAACCACAAGCCGGCACGACUGUCACAGAAGGAAGCAGGGAGGAAGUGAGCGGCCCUGCCCUGCCAGCAUAUCACCAAUACCAGAAACUCCCACAGAAACCUGCACCUUGAGCCUAUUAAAAAUGUCUAUUAAAACUUAUUUUAA
rnacentral:lncRNA from 1 species